UUAAAUUGAAGAGUUUGAUCAUGGCUCAGAUUGAACGCUGGCGGCAGGCCUAACACAUGCAAGUCGAACGGUAACAGGAAACAGCUUGCUGUUUCGCUGACGAGUGGCGGACGGGUGAGUAAUGUCUGGGAAACUGCCUGAUGGAGGGGGAUAACUACUGGAAACGGUAGCUAAUACCGCAUAACGUCGCAAGACCAAAGAGGGGGACCUUCGGGCCUCUUGCCAUCAGAUGUGCCCAGAUGGGAUUAGCUAGUAGGUGGGGUAACGGCUCACCUAGGCGACGAUCCCUAGCUGGUCUGAGAGGAUGACCAGCCACACUGGAACUGAGACACGGUCCAGACUCCUACGGGAGGCAGCAGUGGGGAAUAUUGCACAAUGGGCGCAAGCCUGAUGCAGCCAUGCCGCGUGUAUGAAGAAGGCCUUCGGGUUGUAAAGUACUUUCAGCGGGGAGGAAGGGAGUAAAGUUAAUACCUUUGCUCAUUGACGUUACCCGCAGAAGAAGCACCGGCUAACUCCGUGCCAGCAGCCGCGGUAAUACGGAGGGUGCAAGCGUUAAUCGGAAUUACUGGGCGUAAAGCGCACGCAGGCGGUUUGUUAAGUCAGAUGUGAAAUCCCCGGGCUCAACCUGGGAACUGCAUCUGAUACUGGCAAGCUUGAGUCUCGUAGAGGGGGGUAGAAUUCCAGGUGUAGCGGUGAAAUGCGUAGAGAUCUGGAGGAAUACCGGUGGCGAAGGCGGCCCCCUGGACGAAGACUGACGCUCAGGUGCGAAAGCGUGGGGAGCAAACAGGAUUAGAUACCCUGGUAGUCCACGCCGUAAACGAUGUCGACUUGGAGGUUGUGCCCUUGAGGCGUGGCUUCCGGAGCUAACGCGUUAAGUCGACCGCCUGGGGAGUACGGCCGCAAGGUUAAAACUCAAAUGAAUUGACGGGGGCCCGCACAAGCGGUGGAGCAUGUGGUUUAAUUCGAUGCAACGCGAAGAACCUUACCUGGUCUUGACAUCCACGGAAGUUUUCAGAGAUGAGAAUGUGCCUUCGGGAACCGUGAGACAGGUGCUGCAUGGCUGUCGUCAGCUCGUGUUGUGAAAUGUUGGGUUAAGUCCCGCAACGAGCGCAACCCUUAUCCUUUGUUGCCAGCGGUCCGGCCGGGAACUCAAAGGAGACUGCCAGUGAUAAACUGGAGGAAGGUGGGGAUGACGUCAAGUCAUCAUGGCCCUUACGACCAGGGCUACACACGUGCUACAAUGGCGCAUACAAAGAGAAGCGACCUCGCGAGAGCAAGCGGACCUCAUAAAGUGCGUCGUAGUCCGGAUUGGAGUCUGCAACUCGACUCCAUGAAGUCGGAAUCGCUAGUAAUCGUGGAUCAGAAUGCCACGGUGAAUACGUUCCCGGGCCUUGUACACACCGCCCGUCACACCAUGGGAGUGGGUUGCAAAAGAAGUAGGUAGCUUAACCUUCGGGAGGGCGCUUACCACUUUGUGAUUCAUGACUGGGGUGAAGUCGUAACAAGGUAACCGUAGGGGAACCUGCGGUUGGAUCACCUCCUUACCUUAAAGAAGC
rnacentral:rRNA from 5 species